GAAUUGAAGAAGAUAGCAGCAAGUGGGAUUGCCAAAAUAGGAUGAGCCCCAUAAAUAAAUAGCGGUGCGAGAUAACCCUAAAACCCAAAAAAGAAACACCGCCUCUCUUUCAAACCUAUCCACAAAUCAGUCUCUCUAUCACGCUGUUCAUUCCUCUUCCUAAAAUGGAAUCUGAAUCUCCCUUCUAUCUCUAUAUGAAUAUGAAUUUGAGCCAUUUUAGGAAGGGAAUGAACACUGUGUUAUCUGAGGGAUAUGAAUAUCCAAUCUAGUUCGAGUAAAUCCUCCGACGUUGAACGGUGCGGUGCAGGUCUUCCACGAAUCUUCGGAGGAAAAGCUUGAGAAGGUUUCUCCGGCAGGAAAAGCUGUGGACUGAAGACCCUGCAACAAUGGUGCUUUUCUUUUGUUGAGAAAGACUGCAACAAUGGUGUUGAAAAAUUUUCAGUCAUACUCAUAAUGAAGUUGCGGGACCAUUUUCAGUCGCACCCAUAUUCUGUCA